UUAUUAGUGUAAGUAUGUCCCAUGUAAUAUUUGGGACAUAAUUAUACUAAGC
rnacentral:pre_miRNA from 1 species